rnacentral:rRNA from 1 species
AGAGUUUGAUCCUGGCUCAGAGCGAACGCUGGCGGCAGGCCUAACACAUGCAAGUCGAACGAACUCUUCGGAGUUAGUGGCGGACGGGUGAGUAACACGUGGGAACGUGCCUUUAGGUUCGGAAUAGCUCCUGGAAACGGGUGGUAAUGCCGAAUGUGCCCUUCGGGGGAAAGAUUUAUCGCCUUUAGAGCGGCCCGCGUCUGAUUAGCUAGUUGGUGGGGUAAUGGCCCACCAAGGCUACGAUCAGUAGCUGGUCUGAGAGGAUGACCAGCCACAUUGGGACUGAGACACGGCCCAAACUCCUACGGGAGGCAGCAGUGGGGAAUCUUGCGCAAUGGGCGAAAGCCUGACGCAGCCAUGCCGCGUGUAUGAUGAAGGUCUUAGGAUUGUAAAAUACUUUCACCGGUGAAGAUAAUGACUGUAGCCGGAGAAGAAGCCCCGGCUAACUUCGUGCCAGCAGCCGCGGUAAUACGAAGGGGGCUAGCGUUGCUCGGAAUUACUGGGCGUAAAGGGAGCGUAGGCGGACAUUUAAGUCAGAGGUGAAAUCCCGGAGCUUAACUUCGGAACUGCCUUUGAUACUGGGUGUCUUGAGUGUGAGAGAGGUAUGUGGAACUCCGAGUGUAGAGGUGAAAUUCGUAGAUAUUCGGAAGAACACCAGUGGCGAAGGCGACUCACUGGCCCGAUACUGACGCUGAGGCGCGAAAGCGUGGGGAGCAAACAGGAUUAGAUACCCUGGUAGUCCAA